rnacentral:misc_RNA from 1 species
AAUCUGCAUUUCGAGAAGCUUGACAUCUGGGAUGGAUGAAAAGUUUGAAGUCCCUUCAGCAACAUCAUGAUAAGUAAUCUGCACUUUAGGUUGAUCCAUCAAACUCAUAUUUGAAGUCAUCAAUUCUGGACCUUUAGGAAAUAAUUUCGGAUCUUUUUGGUAUAAUGCUUUCCACAAGGUGGACAUCCAAGGAUCCAGAGCACCUUCAUACCCUGAAGGGUGCUGAUCA